GGCCGCCGGGCGGGCCUGCGAGCGCGGGCGCAGAUUAUCCCAACUCCCUGGCAAGGCACAGACCUGGGAUCUCACCAGCCCAAACUGCAGUCUUUUUCCAGAAGUUUUGAGGUGUGUACGGUGCCACUAGGUGAGCCCCCAGCCCUGGUGACUGGCUUAGCUUUCCAUCGCUGUAAGGAAAUGCAAGAAAGCACUGACUUUUUUUUUUUUUUUUGGUACCAGGGAUCGAACUUGGGACCUUGCCUUUGUGAGACAGGUGGUAGAACCACUGAGCUAAAUGCCUGGCCCAAGAAAGCAUUGACUUAUAAAGAGAAGAGCUUACUCCCUUCUGAUGCUCUGGUCCCAUAUCGGGAGGCCCAGCUGGAUGGCAGUGGAGCAGACUGCUCC
rnacentral:lncRNA from 1 species